rnacentral:rRNA from 1 species
UACGUAGGGUGCAAGCGUUAAUCGGAAUUACUGGGCGUAAAGCGUGCGCAGGCGGUUUUGUAAGACAGAGGUGAAAUCCCCGGGCUCAACCUGGGAACUGCCUUUGUGACUGCAAAGCUAGAGUACGGUAGAGGGGGAUGGAAUUCCGCGUGUAGCAGUGAAAUGCGUAGAUAUGCGGAGGAACACCGAUGGCGAAGGCAAUCCCCCUGGGCCUGUACUGACGCUCAUGCACGAAAGCGUGGGGAGCAAACAGG